CUACGGGUGGCUGCAGUGGGGAAUAUUGCACAAUGGGGGGAACCCUGAUGCAGCAACGCCGCGUGGAGGAUGACACAUUUCGGUGCGUAAACUCCUUUUAUACAAGAAGAUAAUGACGGUAUUAUAUGAAUAAGCACCGGCUAACUCCGUGCCAGCAGCCGCGGUAAUACGGGGGGUGCAAGCGUUACUCGGAAUCACUGGGCGUAAAGAGAAUGUAGGCUGGUUAGUAAGUUGGAAGUGAAAUCCUAUGGCUUAACCAUAGAACUGCUUCCAAAACUACUAACCUAGAAUAUGGGAGAGGUAGAUGGAAUUUCUGGUGUAGGGGUAAAAUCCGUAGAGAUCAGAAGGAAUACCGAUUGCGAAGGCGAUCUACUGGAACAUUAUUGACGCUCAGAUGCGAAAGCGUGGGGAGCAAACAGGAUUAGAUACCCUAGUAGUC
rnacentral:rRNA from 1 species